rnacentral:lncRNA from 1 species
CAGAUCAGAAGCUUCAAGAUCUGCAAAAGUUCCAAGCUCGCCCUAUAACACGGGGCAAAUCUUCUCAACCGGGAUUCUUGCAAUUUAGCUUGGGCAGCUUAUGAUUUUGGCAGCAAAGACACUGCUGAUCUUGCGUGGUCAGGCACCCCUGCAUAUAUAUAUAUAUAUAUAGGAAAAAUACCAUAGGAUUAUGAGGAUUAAUAAUAACUUUUAAUUUCCUGAUGUCAAUUCAGAAACAAGAAGAAAACCAGAACAAAGAAAACGAGGAAAUUUUGGUCGGAUUGGAGGAUAGAGCUUAUGCUGUAAUGAAAAAUAUGAAGUUGGAUAAGAAAUGAACUUCCCCUUUUUGUAGUUUUCAAUUUUCAUGCUUUUUCCAUUCUUUUUACUUUGUGUUUGAGAGAAAAUGAUAAACAAAGUUUGGGGCCUUUAUUUUUUAUGCUCAUGAUUAAAAAGAUGAAGCUAUCUCACCUUAAUGAUCCCAAAAACCUUAAUUCAGUUCGCAAACAAAUGGAUAUGGUCACCGGCUGUUUGAGUAACUGACCUGUCUCUUAUUCCUU